rnacentral:rRNA from 1 species
CCCUUAGAUGUUCUGGGCUGCACGCGCGCUACACUGACGCACGCAACAGGUGCCUGCUCCGAGAGGACUGGGUAAUCAUUUGAGUGUGCGUCGUGAUGGGGAUAGAAUAUUGUAAUUAUUACUCUUCAACGAGGAAUUCCUAGUAAGCGCCAGUCAGCAGCUUGCGCUGAUUACGUCCCUGCCCUUUGUACACACCGCCCGUCGCUCCUACCGAUGGGUGAUCCGGUGAAUGAUUCGGACUUCAGCGGUUCCCCUGGGGUGCGCCGGAGAAAGUUUUGUGAACCUUAUCACUUGGAGGAAGGAGAAGUCGUAACA